rnacentral:rRNA from 1 species
GUGCCUAACACAUGCAAGUCGAACGAGAAAGUGGAGCAAUCCAUGAGUAAAGUGGCGCACGGGUGAGUAACACGUGGACAAUUUGCCCUUGAGUCUGGGAUAACCCGUCGAAAGACGAGCUAAUACCGGAUAAGACCACAGGAAGUUCGCUUCCAGAGGUAAAAGAUGGCCUCUGCUCCUGCAAGCUAUCACUCAUCGAGAAGUUCGCGGCCUAUCAGCUAGUUGGUGAGGUAACGGCCCACCAAGGCUAAGACGGGUAGCUGGUCUGAGAGGAUGGUCAGCCACACUGGGACUGAGACACGGCCCAG